rnacentral:tRNA from 1 species
GGGGUGAUGGUGCAGUUGGGAGCUCGUCUGACUGAAGAUCAGAAGGUCACCGGUUCGAUCCCGGUUCACCCCA